UGUCAAGCACGUGAAAUGGCGUUCAACCUCGGAGCCUUUGUCAGCGAUUGAAUUAAGGCACGCGGUGAAUGCCAAAUGCGAUGCUCC
rnacentral:pre_miRNA from 2 species